rnacentral:misc_RNA from 1 species
UAAAGAUUCAUGUGCUUGAUUUAAAGAAAUAGAUUGUUCAGUUUGUUUAAUUGAAAAAAAAAUGUUAACAAUUAGGAAGACAACAAGCUACGUUGGGCUUCAAACUGAUCUCUCCAUCACCAAUGGUUUGCCAAAACUUACAUGCCAUCCAAUUUUCUUAUACACUGUCAAUAUAGGACUUAUUCCCAUAAAUGAUAUUCCAACAACAAAGAAUCCAUAAUUCCCAUAAUUCCCUAAUACAAACAGCUUGCUGAGUUUCACAGAACACAUUCCAGUAUGAGCUUAUUGUAGAAUCACUUACCUUCACUCUCAACAAACUAUACUCUAAAUUCGCUAACCAACACAAACUAUUCACAAAAACAGUUAUUGUUUAAAUAAAGUUUAAAGGGCUUUAGAAUCUAAUACCAUUGGAGAGAAUCCAAUAAAAUAUAAAAGCAAAU